rnacentral:lncRNA from 1 species
GGUACAGUGAUCUCAUUGUUAAGGUGGACAGUGGAUAGACUGGUGUGUCUGCUUUGUUUUCCAGAAGGAUCCCCCUGAAGAGGACGUCGUCUAUCUGGACAUCGUGCUCAACGGCCAGGUCGGUUGCUGCUGCUUUGAUUUAAAAUGUUUUCUCUUGUUGGUGUACAUUGCUGAUCGUUUACUGACCCUCAUUAAUCCUUCCCGUAUCUCCACACCCUAGGAGAGAUGUGUUGAAGACUGGCCCGAGGACAGUCCUCAGCUGGACCCCGAAUUCAAACCGGUCAGACUCCACUUACUACGUUCAUUGUGUGAUUGUAGUCUUUUUGUUAUUUUUUUUUUUACCUUUUUUUUUUUUUUUCUCUCCACUUUCUUUAGCAUAAGAGGUUGCCCAAACCAAAAGGGAUUAAGAAGCACAAAGCAAAGGUAAGUCAAAGUGCCUAAAGUCAGAAGUAAUUCAAGUAAAGUGCAGGCAAAGCGCUUGACGGUUGCCACGG